rnacentral:lncRNA from 1 species
UUUAUACAAAACAGCUUAUUAUGACCUCUUUUCAGAAAAACAGCUUAUUCAAAACAGCUUAAUACAAUCUCUUAUUCAAAAACAACUUAUCCAAAAUAGUUUAUCUAUAUAAAACAGCUUAUUACGACCUCUUUUCAAAAAACAACUUGUUCAAAACAGCUUAUUUAUACAAAACAACUUAUUCAAAACAGCUUAAUACGAUCUCUUUUUCAAAAACAGCUUAUUCAAAACAGCUUAUUUAUACAAAAUAGCUUAUUACGACCUCAUUUUCAAAAACCGCUUAUUCAAAACAACUUAUUUAUACAAAACAGCUUAUUACGACAUCAUUUUCAAAAACAGCUUAUUCAAAACAGCUUAUUUAUACAAAACAGCUUAUUAUGACCUCAUUUUUAAAAAUCGCUUAUUCAAAACAACUUAUUUAUACAAAACAGCUUAAUAUGACCUCAUUUUCAAAAACAGCUUAUUCAAAACAACUUAUUAUGCAAAACAGCUUAAUACAAUCUCUUUUACUAAAACAGCUUAUUCAAAAUAGCUUAUUUAUAUAAAACAGCUUAUUACGACCUCAUUUUCAAAAACCGCUUAUUCAAAACAACUUAUUUAUACAAAACAGCUUAUUACGACCUCUUUUUCAAAAACAGCUUAUUUAUACAAAACAGCUUAAUAUGAUCUCUUUUUCAAAAACAGCUUAUUCAAAACAGCUUAUUUGUACAAAAUAGCUUAAUACGACAUCAUUUUCAAAAACCGCUUAUUCAAAACAACUUAUUUAUACAAAACAUCUUAAUAUGACUUCAUUUUACAAAAUAGCUUAUUCAAAACAACUUAUUUAUGCAAAACAGCUUAAUACGACCUCAUUUUCAAAAACGGCUUAUUCAAAACAGCUUAUUUAUGCAAAACAGCUUAAUACGAUCUCUUUUUCAAAAACAGCUUAUUUAUACAAAACAGCUUAUUACGACCUCAAUUUCAAAAAUCGCUUCUUUAAAACAAUUUAUUUAUACAAAACAGCUUAAUACGACAUCAUUUUCAAAAAUCGCUUAUUCGAAACAACUUAUUUAUACAAAACAGCUUAUUACGACCUCAUUUUCAAAAAUCGCUUAUUCAAAACAACUUAUUUAUACAAAACUGUUUAUAACGACCUCAUUUCAAAAACCUCUUAUUCAAAACAAUUUAUUUAUGCAAAACAACUUAUUAUGUCCUCUUUUCAAAAAAUAACUUAUUCAAAACAGCUUAUUUAUGCAAAACCGCUUAUUACGAUCUCUUUUUUAAAAACAACUUAUUCAAAAAAACUUAUUUAUGCAAAACAACUUAUUAUGAUCUCUUUUUCAAAAACAACUUAUUCAAAACAACUUAUUUAU